CUGAAAUCCAGCAUCUUUCUCAAAGCUUUUCCUCCGAGAGCCCUAAACCCACAGUUCCAUUUCCCUUUUGUGGGAUGGUGUGGGGAGUUGGUGGUGCAGGGGAAAGACAGAGAGUUAUUAAAAGAAGCCCGAGGACUUGGGGAUCCCAAGGCUGAUUCCCAUCCCAUGGUAAUGCUGACCGGAUGGGUGUGGACAUGUCAGCCUUCAGCUGUGUGGGGCGGUGGCCCAUCAGGGCAGAAGGUCUUCAAGUGUAAUAUAAUACAUCCCAGGUCACGUGUGCACACAGUCCAGGUCCAGUUCUGGCAGUUCUGCUCUUUAGGGAAUUUCAGAGUUAGGUUCCUGCCAGCCUCUGGCCACAGCAUUUGUCCCUGACCAAUAGAAAACUCUUUUUAUGUGUGUUUCUUACUUAAUAUAUGUUACUGAUUCACUGGGCUUCCCUGGUGGCUAAGUGGAAAAGAAUCCGCCUACCAGCCAAUUCAGGAGAUGCAGGGAUUGAAGCUGAGUUUCCUGCUUUGGCGGGUGGAUUCCAUACCACUAGUGCCACCUGGACUCCUCGGCGACGCUCAGUAAUUCCUGGCGAGUAAAGGCUGGGACCGAAGCUUCUUGUGUUUGCUCCAUCCUGGGUGCCAGAAGAAGGAGAAAUAUCUGGGUGUAGGUUUCCCCCCUCGCCCUCCUGUACCCCUUCCAGAAGGGUGCCCAUUUCCCCUUUCCACUGCCUGCGAACAGGAGAUCCUGUGUUCCCGCACAUCAGAAGAUUCGGACAACCUCACAUCUAACAGAACUGGUCUUUGCUGGGAGGAGCUGAGGGCAGCCUGUCACCCAAAGGAAUGAUGCUCCUAGGGAGGCAUUUUGGGCCAGCAUGGGGCUUCCUGGGGCCCCACUCCUCCAGUCCUGGCUUUCUUACUGCUGGGCACCUUUACAAAAACAUUCUGUUGCUUGCGCCCCUUGAAGAGUUGGUACGCAGGUCAUAGGAGUUAUUGCUGUUUCUUCUCUCCGAGGCUCUUUCUUUCCCUUUUAGGAGAUGGUUCCCCUUGAAGGAUGGCAUUUUCUCUUUAGCAGCCGGGCACUACCGCCCAGGUCUCCGUAGGGCCUGGCUGACUCAUCUGCUGUGCUGUGAGGCAGGGCAAGAGCUAUCUCCCGCUGCAGCCCUGCCGGACCGAGUCAGGGGCAGACGUUGGGGUGGCCAUUCCCAGUUCUGACAGGGACCAACGUCCAUCCACACAGGGCUGCCCGGAG
ensembl:lncRNA